rnacentral:rRNA from 1 species
AGCCAUGGUGGAGACGCGGCAUCCGGCUCAGUAACACGUGGCUAACCCACCCUUGAGACGGAGAAAACCCCGGGAAACUGGGGUUAAUCUCCGAUAAGAGAAGACACCUGGAAUGGGUCUCCUCUCAAAGGGCGCCUAGACCAUGCUUCUGGGCGUCGCUCAAGGACGGGGCCGCGGCCGAUCAGGUUGUUGGUGAGGCAACGGCUCACCAAGCCUAUAACCGGUACGGGCCGUGAGAGCGGGAGCCCGGAGAUGGGCACUGAGACAAGGGCCCAGGCCCUACGGGGCGCAGCAGUUGCGAAAACUCCGCAAUGCACGAAAGUGUGACGGGGCUACCCCGAGUGCCGUCCGCUGAGGGCGGCUUUUCCCCGGUGUAAGGAGCCGGGGGAAUAAGGAGAGGGCAAGUCUGGUGUCAGCCGCCGCGGUAAUACCAGCUCUCCGAGUGGUAGGGAUGAUUAUUGGGCUUAAAGCGUCCGUAGCCGGCCCGGCAAGUCUUCCGUUAAAUCCAACGAUUCAAUCGUUGGACUGCAGGAGAUACUGUUGGGCUAGGGGGCGGGAGAGGCCGACGGUACUCUCGGGGUAGGGGUAAAAUCCUAUAAUCCCGGGAAGACCACCAGUGGCGAAGGCGGUCGGCUAGAACGCGCUCGACGGUGAGGGACGAAAGCUGGGGGAGCGAACCGGAUUAGAUACCCGGGUAGUCCCAGCUGUA